GGGCCCUUAGCUCAGUUGGUUAGAGCACCUGACUCAUAAUCAGGUGGUCGCUGGUUCGAGCCCAGCAGGGCCCACAA
rnacentral:tRNA from 1 species